GCUAGGCAUGGUGGUGUGUCCUUAUACUCCCAGCUACUUGGGAGGCCGAGGAGGCAGGACCAUUGCUUGAGUCCAGAUGUUCUGGGAUAUAGGGCACUAUGCUGAUCCAAUGUUCACACUAAGUUUAGCAUCAAUAUGGUGACUUCUUGGGAGUGGGGAACCACCAGGUUGCUGAAGGAGGAGUGAAACUGCCCAGGUCAGAAACAGAGCAGGUUAAAACUCCCAUGCUGAUCAGGAGUGGGAUUGUGCCUAUAAAUAGCCACCGCACUUGCCAUUGCACUCCAGCCUGGGCAGCUCAGGAAUACCCCAACUCU
rnacentral:SRP_RNA from 1 species